CAAAGCACUCAGCUUACACCUGAGAGACAUCUGUCACCCAUUCAGAUCGCUUUGAGCCCAACUCUAGCCCACU
rnacentral:tRNA from 1 species